rnacentral:rRNA from 1 species
AGAGAGAGUUCAAGAGUACGUGAAACCGUUCAGGGGUAAACCUGAGAAACCCAAAAGAUCGAAUGGGGAGAUUCAUCGUCAACGAAGCUGGCUCCCGUUGGUGCGCGAUACCCCGAAUGGGCCUUACCGGGUUCCAAGGCGAGGGUACACCAUCUUCGGCGAAUAACCGGCGACGUCGUCGUGCACUUCUCCCUUAGUAGAACGUCGCGACCCGUUGUGUGUCGGUCUACGGCCUGAGCUACUUUGCCUGUCGCGGCGCCCUCGUACGCUCGCGGCAGAGGCUAGGUCGCCUGGCCGGCUGCACGACGGUACUCUGACGGUAUCGGGCCGCAACCAAUCCAUUCUCGAAUGUGUGUGCGUCGAACCCGCCGCAAGCUCGGACAGAUUUACCCGGAGUGUGCGGACCUAGUGCCCUCCCCGGGUCUGGCCAGCUGUUGGCAGGCGGUGUUCUUGGACUGGCCAAGCUUUGAAUUACCGGUCGGCGACGCUACUGCUUUGGGUACUCUCAGGACCCGUCUUGAAACACGGACCAAGGAGUCUAACAUGUGCGCGAGUCAUUGGGACAUUUAAACCUAAAGGCGCAAUGAAAGUAAAGGUCGUACCUCAGCGUCGGCCAAGGGAGGAUGGGCCGCUUACGUCCCGGCCCCGCACUCCCGGGGCGUCUCGUUCUCAUUGCGAGAAGAGGCGCACCCAGAGCGUACACGUUGGGACCCGAAAGUGG